AUACGUAGGUGGCGAAGCGUUAUCCGGAAUUAUUGGGCGUAAAGCGCGCGCAGGCGGAUCUGCCAGUCUGUCUUAAAAGUUCGGGGCUUAACCCCGUGAUGGGAUGGAAACUACAGAUCUAGAGUAUCGGAGAGGAAAGUGGAAUUCCUAGUGUAGCGGUGAAAUGCGUAGAUAUUAGGAAGAACACCAGUGGCGAAGGCGACUUUCUGGACGAAAACUGACGCUGAGGCGCGAAAGCCAGGGGAGC
rnacentral:rRNA from 1 species